CUCAUGGUUUCACGGUAUUGCAAUGAGAACAAUUUAAAACCCUUAGCGGGAAUCAAGUGGAGGACAAGUCUGGUGCCAGCACCCGCGGUAAUUCCAGCUCCACUAGCGUAUAUUAAAGUUGUCGCAGUUAAAAAGCUCGUAGUUGAACCUCUGUCUGGGGCUAGUUUUGGCUUUGGUCAGGCUAGUUCUAGGCAUCCGCCUACAAGACUUAGAGGGCAUUCAGUUGUUCACUAGGAGGAGUAGGCAUUUUACUUUGAAAAAAUUAGAGUGUUUGAGGCAGGCAAUCGCCCGCAUAUAUUAGCAUGGAAUAAUAGAAUAGGACACUUUUCCAUUUCGUUGGUUAUUGGAAUCGUGUAAUGAUUAAUAGGGACAGUUGUGGGCAUUUGUAUUUAAUUGUCAGAGGUGAAAUUCUUGGAUUUAUUAAAGACAAACUAACGCGAAAGCAUUUGCCAAGGAUGUUUUCAUUAAUCAAGAACGAAAGUUAGGGGAUCAAAGACGAUCAGAUACCGUCCUAGUCUUAACUAUAAACUAUUCCGACUCAAUGUUUGACUGGCUUAUAUAACCAGUUGAGCGUUGUAUGAGAAAUCAAAGUCUUUAGGUUCUGGGGGGAGUAUGGUUGCAAAGCUGAAACUUAAAGGAAUUGACGGAAGAGCACAACCAGGAGUGGAUUCUGCGGCUUAAUUUGACUCAACACGGGGAAACUUACCAGGUUAAAACAAUAGUGGGAUUGACAGUUUGAGAGCGCUUUCUUGAUUGGUUGGGUGGUGGUGCAUGGCCGUUCUUAGUUGGUGGAGUGAUUUGUCUGCUUAAUUGCGUUAACGAACGAGACCUUAACCUGCUUACUAGACUGGCGAUCAUCAAUCGUUAGCUCUUCUUAGAGGGACUUUGGUUGUUUUAACUCCAAGGAAGUUUGAGGCAAUAACAGGUCUGUGAUGCCCUUAGAUAUCCUGGGCCGCACGCGUCAUACAAUGACUAGUUCAGAAAGUUUUCUCCUGACCCGAAAGGGGAUGGGUAUUCUUGAUAAUACUAGUCGUGUUAGGGAUCGAUCUUUGCAAUUAUAGAUCUUGAACGAGGAAUUCCUAGUAAGUGCGGUUCAUCAGACCGUACUGAUUACGUCCCUGCUCUUUGUACACACCGCCCGUCGCUUCUACCGAGUGGGUGGUCCGGUGAGAUAAUUGAACUUCGCAGGUAACUGAGAGGAAAGAUUAUCAAACCUAUCCACCU
rnacentral:rRNA from 1 species